rnacentral:rRNA from 1 species
UACAGAGGUGGCGAGCGUUGUUCGGAAUUACUGGGCGUAAAGCGCGCGUAGGCGGUUUACUAAGUCAGACGUGAAAGCCCUGGGCUCAACCCGGGAAUUGCGUUUGAUACUGGUAGACUAGAGAUUCAGAGAGGUGAGUGGAAUUCCUAGUGUAGAGGUGAAAUUCGUAGAUAUUAGGAGGAACAUCAGUGGCGAAGGCGGCUCACUGGCUGAAUACUGACGCUAAGGCGCGAAAGCGUGGGGAGCAAACAGG